AAAAGCUUUUAAGGGCAGAUGGUGGAUGCCUUGGGUGAUAGAGGCGAUGAAGGACGUACUAAGCUGCGAUAAGCUAUGGGGAGCUGCUAAGAAGCUUUGAUCCAUAGAUUUCCGAAUGGGGCAACCCAAUACAUAGAGAUAUGUAUUACCUUUAAUGGAGCGAACCUAGCGAAGUGAAACAUCUCAGUAGCUAGAGGAAAAGAAAUCAAUAGAGAUUCUCCUAGUAGCGGCGAGCGAACGGGGAAAAGGGCAAACCAGUAGCUUGCUACUGGGGUUGAGGACUGCAAUAUCCACUUGAAUAAUGUAGCAGAAGUGUUUGGAAAAACACAUCAUAGAGGGUGAUAGUCCCGUAUGCGAAAUAUUAUUCAUAGGUAGCAGGAUCCAGAGUAGGCCAGGACACGUGAAAUCCGGGCUGAAGCCGGGGAGACCACUCUCCAACCCUAAAUACUACUAUCACACCGAUAGCGAACAAGUACCGUGAGGGAAAGGUGAAAAGAACCGCAGUGAGCGGAGUGAAAUAGAACCUGAAACCAUUUGCCUACAAUCAUUCGGAGCCCUAUUGUGAGUCCCUUUGAGAAAUCACGGGGGGGGGGGUAACUCUUUAGUUAUCUCUCCCUUUCCGCCCUUGUUUUCUCUUAUCUUUUUGGUAAGGAGAAUAUUAUGGGACGAGGACAACCUUCAAGUAAUCCAAAUGGAGCAGGAUUUCCAUCUACCACAGGCAACCCUAGUGGUGGUGGUAGAGGCAAUAAUGCACCUGGCGGAAAGAAGUAGAUUGUUGGAAUAACAGAAAAUUCUAAGAUUUUGAGAUGAUUUUGGUGGUUGCGUAGAAAAAUCUGCGGAGACUAGACUAAAGUCUGUCGCACAAAGAUUUUUUCAAGCUCCGCUAAAAGCACUCAAAAGCUGAAUUUAGCUGAUUUUUCAGAGGGAUUCACAAGGGUGACGGACUGCCUUUUGCAUAAUGAUCCUGCGAGUUGUGGUAUCUGGCAAGGUUAAGCACACGCGAAGCCGUAGCGAAAGCGAGUCUGAAAGGGCGUUUAGUCAGAUGCUGCAGACCCGAAGCCAAGUGAUCUAUCCAUGGCCAAGUUGAAGCGAGUGUAAUAGCUCGUGGAGGACUGAACUCGUACCCAUUGAAACGGGUUGGGAUGAGCUGUGGAUAGGGGUGAAAGGCCAAACAAACUUGGUGAUAGCUGGUUCUCUUCGAAAUAUAUUUAGGUAUAGCCUCAAGUGAUAGUAAUAGGGGGUAGAGCUCUGAUUGGGCUAGGGCUGCUCACCGCGGUACCAACCCCUGUCAAACUGCAAAUACCUAUUACCGUAUCUUGGGAGUCAGGCGGUGGGUGAUAAAAUCAAUCGUCAAAAGGGGAACAACCCAGACUACCAACUAAGGUCCCAAAGUUCUAUUCUAAGUGGAAAAUGAUGUGAAGUUACUCAGACAACCAGGAGGUUGGCUUAGAAGCAGCCAUCCUUUAAAGAAAGCGUAACAGCUCACUGGUCUAGUGAUUUUGCGCAGAAAAUAUAACGGGGCUAAGAUAGACACCGAAGUUGUAGAUUGUGCUGAUGCACAGUGGUAGAAGAGCGUUCGUAUCAGCGUUGAAGGCAUACCGGUAAGGAGUGCUGGAGCGAUGCGAAGUGAGCAUGCAGGAAUGAGUAGCGAUAAAAGUGGUGAGAAUCCACUUCGCCGAAAGUCUAAGGUUUCCUACGCGAUGCUCGUCAUCGUAGGGUUAGUCGGGUCCUAAGACAAGUCAGAAAUGGGUAGUCGAUGGAAAAUGGGUUAAUAUUCCCAUACCAACAUUAGUGUGCGAUGGGGGGACGCAUAGGGCUAAGUAGCGUUAGCUGAUGGAAGUGCUAAUUUAAAAGCGUAGAUUGAGAGAUAGGUAAAUCCGCUCUUGUAUUCGAAACUUGAAUAGCUUGUUGCGAUCUUCGGAUCAAGAUGAGUGCUACUGACGCCGUCGUGCCAAGAAAAGCCUCUAAGUUUAGCUAAUGUUGCCCGUACCGCAAACCGACACAGGUAGAUGAGAUGAGUAUUCUAAGGCGCGUGAAAGAACUCUGGUUAAGGAACUCUGCAAACUAGCACCGUAAGUUCGCGAUAAGGUGUGCCUAAGCAAUUAGGUCUCAGCAAAGAGUCCCUCCCGACUGUUUACCAAAAACACAGCACUUUGCAAACUCGUAAGAGGAAGUAUAAGGUGUGACGCCUGCCCGGUGCUCGAAGGUUAAGAGGAUUCGUUAGCAGCAAUGCGAAGCGUUGAAUUGAAGCCCGAGUAAACGGCGGCCGUAACUAUAACGGUCCUAAGGUAGCGAAAUUCCUUGUCGGUUAAAUACCGACCUGCAUGAAUGGCGUAACGAGAUGGGAGCUGUCUCAACCAGGGAUUCAGUGAAAUUGUAGUGGAGGUGAAAAUUCCUCCUACCCGCGGCAAGACGGAGAGACCCCGUGGACCUUUACUACAGCUUGGCACUGCCGAUGGGAGCAUUAUGCGCAGGAUAGGUGGGAGGCUUUGAAAUCUUCACUCUGGUGGAGAUGGAGCCAUCCUUGAGAUACCACCCUUAAUGUUUCUGUCUGCUAACUGGCUAGAGUUAUCCUCUAGCAGGACAAUGCCUGGUGGGUAGUUUGACUGGGGCGGUCGCCUCCUAAAAAGUAACGGAGGCUUGCAAAGGUUGGCUCAUUGCGGUUGGAAAUCGCAAGUAGAGUGUAAUGGCAUAAGCCAGCCUGACUGUAAGACAAACAAGUCGAGCAGAGACGAAAGUCGGUCAUAGUGAUCCGGUGAUUCUGUGUGGAAGGGUCAUCGCUCAAAGGAUAAAAGGUACCCCGGGGAUAACAGGCUGAUCUCCCCCAAGAGCUCACAUCGACGGGGAGGUUUGGCACCUCGAUGUCGGCUCAUCGCAUCCUGGGGCUGGAGCAGGUCCCAAGGGUAUGGCUGUUCGCCAUUUAAAGCGGUACGCGAGCUGGGUUCAGAACGUCGUGAGACAGUUCGGUCCCUAUCUGCCGUGGGCGUAGGAAAGUUGAGGAGAGCUGUCCCUAGUACGAGAGGACCGGGAUGGACACGCCACUGGUGUAAGAGUUGUUCUGCCAAGAGCAUCGCUCUGUAGCUACGCGUGGAUGUGAUAACCGCUGAAAGCAUCUAAGCGGGAAGCCAACUCCAAGAUUAACUUUCCCUGAAGGUCGCAGCAAGACUAGCUGCUUGAUAGGGUAGGUGUGUAAGCAUAGUAAUAUGUUCAGCUGACUACUACUAAUAGACCGUUUGGCUUUUUAUA
rnacentral:rRNA from 1 species